rnacentral:rRNA from 1 species
UUGGAGGGCAAGUCUGGUGCCAGCAGCCGCGGUAAUUCCAGCUCCAAUAGCGUAUAUUAAAGUUGUUGCAGUUAAAAAGCUCGUAGUUGAACUUCAGACCUGACCGGGCGGUCCGCCUAACGGUGUGUACUGUCUGGCCGGGCCUUACCUCUUGGUGAGCCGGCAUGCCCUUCACUGGGUGCGUCGGGGGAACCAGGACCUUUACCUUGAGAAAAUUAGAGUGUUCAAAGCGGGCUUACGCCGGAAUACAUUAGCAUGGAAUAAUAAAAUAGGACGUGCGGUU